rnacentral:tRNA from 1 species
AGUAAGAUAAGCUAAAUUCAAGCUGUUGGGUUCAUACCCCAAAUAUAAAGAUUACUUUUCUUUCUA